UACGUAGGGCGCAAGCGUUAUCCGGAAUUAUUGGGCGUAAAGAGCUCGUAGGCGGUGUGUCACGUCGGUCGUGAAAACCUGGGGCUUAACUCUGGGCUUGCGGUCGAUACGGGCAUCACUUGAGUUCGGCAGGGGAGACUGGAAUUCCUGGUGUAGCGGUGAAAUGCGCAGAUAUCAGGAGGAACACCGGUGGCGAAGGCGGGUCUCUGGGCCGAUACUGACGCUGAGGAGCGAAAGCGUGGGGAGCGAACAGG
rnacentral:rRNA from 1 species